rnacentral:lncRNA from 1 species
UGCUCUUAAGUUGACAAAAUCAAUCCAUACGUCAUAAAGGCGCAUCCUUGCUGUUUCCAAGUGCUUUGACUGUUCGGGAUUGCUGUAAAGAUUAUAAAAUAGUAUUUAAUUAGUGAAAAAUUGCUCUACAAGCCAACAACAUUGAGAAAGGGACGUGCCACAUCAAGCUAAGUUAAUAGUAGUAAGAACAAAUCAUUUAUUAGUGAAAAAAUUGCUCUACAAGCCAACAACAUUGAGAAAGGGACGUGCCACAUCAAGAUAAGUUAAUAGUAGUAAGAACAAAUCUUAGUGUACUCCUAGCAGGAUGAAAGAUCCUAGAACACUUAUAGCAUAGAAGAUUAGAAUUUUAUUAUUUUUGGGCACAAAAACUAAACACUUGCUUCUUUGUUAAAAAUAUAUAGGAGAAACAAAAAUUAUUAGCCCUCCCAAACUCCACUCAGAGGAUG